GCACGAACACGGAAGUCCAGGUGUCAGACUCAGCACAAAAGUCAGAAUUGAGUGAUGGGAGCAGUCCAAGAACACCUGUAUAUUCAGAGACAGAAGCUGCAUAGAGACACAACUAGAACCUCUUCAUUUACAAACUCCUUAAACAGACAGAUUGAGCAUUUGUGGAUUGUAGAGGGAUCAUCACUGAUCAGUUAUGCUGCUCAACAUGACCUCUCAGUUUCUGAAUUCAACCAUCAACUCCACCAACUCCAUGGAGAUAGAUUAUUUUACAAUAUGCAGUGACAUGUAUGAGGGUGUUGUGUUCUGGGCUUGUUCCAGUGUAGUCUUGUCUCUGUUUGGGUUCCCUGCAUGUGUCAUCGUUCUCUGGGAGCUGUUUCAGAAACACAGGAGAGGAACCCCCACCACCCCCAAUGACGUCUUCAUGCUGAACCUCACAGUCAUGGACUCUGUUUUCUUAGGAUUCAUGCCUACCUCUGUAUGCAACUACCUCUUUUGGCACAACCGGACUUUUGAAACCUUUCUUAACUUCCUCUAUUCUUUGAGUUUGAGUGGCCGACCUCUCUUCAUGACCUGUAUCUGUCUGGACUGCUACCUGGCUGUGGUUCAUCCAAUCAUGUACAGAGCCAGGAAGGGUCUGACCUCCAGGGUUCUGAUGUGUGUUGUAGUGUGGGCUGUCACUCUGGCUUAUGGGACUGCAUUCAUUCUUAUAGAUGGCUUGUACUACCAACCUAUCGCUCUCUGGCCUCAACUCAUCACCCUACCCACCAUAGGGUUCUGUGACUUCUUCAUCCUCCGGGCUCUGAAGAGUUCUGACCCUGCAGGACGAGACCUCCACCCCCAGAAGAAGAAGGCUCUUCAGAUCAUCAUCAACAGCCUGGUCAUGACGGUCAUUACCUACCUUCCUCAAGUGUUCUUGUUUAGUCUUGGACUCUUAGUCUUUGAUUUGAAAACAUUUUUGUGUACAAUGUUCUUACCAGUGCUGCUUACCUCCACUUCAGGGAGUGCAGUCAUGCCUGUUCUCUACCUGAGCAAUCUAGGGAGACUGGACGGCCUGUUGCAAGCAUGCUGGAGUUGAGUGUCCUAUACUGACAUUGAUACAUUUCUUUUUUUUUAUCUCACCUAUUUAGAGAUUAAAGUUCACUAAAGUAAGUUCACAUGAAAUGUGGGUUGCAAUAUUUGUUAUUGUACUUAGCAGGCCAAUGUUGUAUUGUAUUGUUGUGUUGUUGUGUUGUUGUGUUGUUGUGUUGUUGUGUUGUUGUGUUGUUACUGAGAGGAUGUUGAGGUGUUUGAUGUGUUUUGAUAUUUGUCCUCCCCUGUAGCUCACACCAGGAGCCAGGAGAGCAGCACAUUAUACAUUUGAUUAACAAUCAAAUGAUUAAUUACUUAGAAACUAGUUGCUAUGAAUAAAGGUUCUGUUACCUUUAGUUAUUUGACAGGAUGAUGAUGUCAUUGAGAUAGUGUGGCAAAGUAGGUCCUUCAUUACUAAACAACAAUGAAUAUUCAGAUACAGUUACGAGUCAUUAGCAAACAUUAAACUGUUGGUAAC